GAAGUACUCCCUCCGUCCUAAAAUUCUUGUCUUAGAUUUGUCUAAAUACGGAUGUAUCAGAUACAUCCGUAUUUAGACAAAUCUAAGACAAGAAUUUUGGGGCGGAGGGAGUAUAUU
rfam:Triticum aestivum genome assembly, contig: Triticum_aestivum_CS42_TGACv1_scaffold_094953_2AL